rnacentral:tRNA from 1 species
GUAAAAAUAAGUUAACUAAACUUUUAGACUCAUAAUCUAAUAAUAGAAUAUAUAUCUUCUUUUUUAUA